GACGAAGGUGGCAACCGUUGCUCGGAUUCACUGGGCAUAAAGCGCGCGUAGGUGGCUAGGCAGGUCACUGGUGAAAUCCCACGGCUCAACCGUGGACCCGCCAGUGAAACCGCCUUGCUUGAGGGACGAGAGGGGAGAAUGGAACUCUUGGUGUAGCGGUGAAAUGCGUAGAUAUCAAGAGGAACGCCGGUGGCGAAAGCGAUUCUCUGGAUCGUUCCUGACACUGAGGCGCGAAAGCUAGGGGAGCAAACAGG
rnacentral:rRNA from 1 species